rnacentral:rRNA from 1 species
CCUGAAUUCGAAAGGGGUUGGAUUCAAUGCCUUCCGUGUUGCUGGGCUACCCUGGUCAGAUGGUGCCGGUCGCCCGCGACGAUUCAUUUCGUUUGCGGUGUCGUUCCCGGUGUCCACUCGUCCAGUGUGGUUGUGCUCCGGUGCCGGAGGAGUGCACUUCCUCCCUAGUAGAAACGUCGCGACCCGUUGGGUGCCGGUCUAAGGCCCGGGAUGGCAGACCGCGCGUCCUGUGGGGGUUCUCACAGGCGCGCGGACUCUUGGUGACCCGGCCGGCUGCCCGACGGUAUGACCAGAGGAGUCGAUCCGCUGAUUGAGAAACACUGUGGUUGUGAAGCGUCCGGGCCUGGCGGCGUUGCUUGCGGGGAUUGAGGUGUAUACCGGGGGUGUCCGUGCGAAGCUCGGCCCCGGCCCCGCAGGUGUUCGCAGUCUUGUCCUUGGACUGGAUCAGCACUCCCGUCUGCGACGCCCAUCUUCGGAUGGUCUCCCG